rnacentral:rRNA from 1 species
UACGUAGGGUCCGAGCGUUGUCCGGAAUUACUGGGCGUAAAGAGCUCGUAGGUGGUUUGUCGCGUUGUUCGUGAAAACUCACAGCUCAACUGUGGGCGUGCGGCGAUACGGGCAGACUUGAGUACUGCAGGGGAGACUGGAAUUCCGGGUGUAGCGGUGGAAUGCGUAGAGAUCCGGAAGAACACCGGUGGCGAAGGCGGCCUGCUGGGCAGUUAGCUGACACUGAGGCGCGACAGCGUGGGGAGCAAACAGG